ensembl:lncRNA
GUAGAGAGAAAAUUUAGAAGAGAGAAUAGACAGAGCAGGAGAGACGCGGCUGGGAAAUGACAAUCAAACCGUGAAUUAGAGUUUUCUUUAUUUGUUCAGUUUGUUCUCAGGUAGAGGCAAUAUGCACUCUUUAUUGCUUUAAUGGCUUGGCAUUUUUCAGCAGCAAGCCAAGAAGUGAAAAACAGGUAGAGAGAAAAUUUAGCAGAGAGAACAGACAGAGCAGGAGAGACACGGCUUUGAAAUCAAACCGCAAUAAGAUUCUUGGUUUGGCAAAAUUUCUCACAAACCACAGGGUGAAAUACAGAUGGAAAGAAGGCAGAGACAACAG